GGGGGUGUAGCUCAUUGGUAGAGAGUUUGCCUAGUGUACCUAGCAUACCUAAGAUCUGGGUUCAAUUCCUGACACCACCA
rnacentral:tRNA from 1 species